UACCCAAGCCCCAAGGGCCUCCAUGGAACUCCUUGAAUGUGUGGCCAAGCUGUGCCUCUGAGCCUUUGCACUGGCUGAUCCCUCUAUCUGGAAUGCCUUUCCCUCAGAAAACCUUGCAGCUUGCUCCCUCCUCUCCUUCAAACUCGUGCCCAAAUGCCUCCUUCUCAAAUGAGUCCUACCCUGUCACCCUAUGUAAAAUUACAACCUCCACCCCUCAUCGUCCAUCUUCCUUCUCUCUUUUAUUAUUCUCCUCCCCAGCGCUUAUCAUUUUCUAGAACUUACAUCAUGUGCUUACUUAGCAUGUUUGUUGUUUGUCUCCUCGCCCAGAAGCAAGCUCCCAGAGGGCAAAGCUUUCCUCGGCUUGAUACACGGCUUGCUCCCCAGCAACCUGGAAACACGCCCCAUGCCUCUGAGGAGGUAACAGCAGCAGAGAUUCAGGGCAGACCUUGGGGAGACGCCCAUCAAAGCAGGUGAGGAUGGGGAAAAAGGACUGAGGGUGGGCCCAUCGGUCCGUUCCAGAACUCCCACUGGAACGUCAAAUGGGGUUGAGCGGACAGCUGAGCCCUGGAGCCUGGGGACGAGAUGUUCCAUCCUCUGAGCAGACUGAGGCCGGAUGCACUGCUUGGAGCCGACGCCGCACCAGCUCCAGCUCCCUUCCUUGGCUGCACAGUCUUCUUUGGAGUGAGGGUCGGCCCUCUCGGCGCCUCAGGGAGCGCAGGGCCCUUCGGAGGCAAGUGGUGUGGGGGCCUCUCCCAUGUGGGGGGCUCUGUUAGACCUCCUUCCUUCCUCUUCUCGUUGGCGGCGAGGCUGGAGGGUGUGCUCUUUCCAGACCCUUCUCUCUCACGAGUCUGAACAGUCAGAGGAAGCGGC
rnacentral:lncRNA from 1 species